rnacentral:rRNA from 1 species
GAUGAACGCUAGCGGCAGGCCUAAUACAUGCAAGUCGAACGGUGUCUUCGGACAUAGUGGCGCACGGGUGCGUAACACGUAUGCAACCUACCUUACAUUGGGGGAUAGCCUUUCGAAAGGGAGAUUAAUACCGCAUAAGACAGUAGUCUGGCAUCAGACAGCUGUUAAAGAUUUAUCGAUGUAAGCUGGGCAUGCGUCCAAUUAGUUAGUUGGCGGGGUAACGGCUCACAAAGACUAUGAUUGGUAGGGGAACUGAGAGGUCAAUCCCCCACACUGGCACUGAGAUACGGGCCAGACUCCUACGGGAGGCAGCAGUAGGGAAUAUUGGGCAAUGGACGCAAGUCUGACCCAGCCAUGCCGCGUGCAGGAAGAAGGCGUUAUGCGUUGUAAACUGCUUUUAUACAGGAAGAAACGACUCUUGCGAGAGGCAUUGACGGUACUGUAUGAAUAAGCACCGGCUAACUCCGUGCCAGCAGCCGCCGUAACAC